GGCAGAGCUUGCUCUUUCAAUUCAGAGAUAUCUUCAAGGACCCAAUUAUGCUGUGGUGCGGAAUGGAGCAUGUAUGUAACUGAGGUUCCUGCCAAAGACAUCAUCUCCUGGCUGAAUGGCAAGACUGGCCAGGACACCAGGAAACUGAGACUGAUUGGACACACAAGAAUGUGAGCUGGGUAAGCAGAAUGAAGGCCCUGGGCAUAACUUGAACACCCGAGGAACUUGAACCCAAGGCUGGCACAAAAGCCAGAAGGUGUUACUCUCCACCAGCUCAGGGAUUGUGAAGAUCUCUGUGCAGACUCCACUCUGCGGUUGGACAGCAUCCCUGAGACAUGCAUUUUGGAAAUUGUGAUCAACCAGAAUCCAGAACACGCUGUGCUUAAUGGAGUGAACUGCCUGUGAAGCGCAGGUGUGAGGGGCGGAUGAUAAGUGACAGUGCCGGUGCCCCCAGCGCCCUUUUACCUGAUGGCUCACCCGGCCUACAGCUGCGCCCUUCCCUUUGAAUCGUCUUGGGUAACGGGUGCUGCUUUGGAAAUGCCUGGAAGGUCAUGUCCUUUGUCUGGGGAUGGCUUCCAGCUGUGGUUGACUGAUAGCAGGGGGCACAGAAGGCCAGACACAACUUGCCUCAGGUGGGCCGACUCUGAGGGUUUGUUCGGCCUCCACGUGGACUUCAGCUGAGCCUGCAUCUUUGCUUGGCUUUUCCCACUGGCCUAUUCUGCUUCCCUCUCCUUAAGGGUUCUCCCAGGAGAACUCCCUUAAUAAAUCACUUGCACAAGGA
ensembl:lncRNA MIR3681HG MIR3681 host gene